GAACAUAAAAUAGUGAUCUCUUUACAACUGCUCUGACUCACAAAAAGCCAAAUACAUUAUGAUAAUGAAAGGAAAUCAUGAAAUGGCAAAAAUUGGCCCGACCCCAUGCCUCAUGCCUGUAAUCCCAGCACUUUGGGAGGCCGAGGCGGGUGGAUCACCUGAGGUCAGGAAUUCAAGACCAGCCUGGCCAACAUGGUGAAACCCUGUCUCUACCAAAAAUACAAAAAAAUCAGCCUGGUGUGGUGGCGCAUGCCUGUAGUCCCAGCUAUUUGAGAGGCUGAGGCAAGAGAAUCACUUGAAUCCGGGAGGUGGAGGUUGCAGCGAGCAGAGAUUGCGCCACUGCACUCACUCCAGCCUGGGCAACAGAGCAGGACUCCAUCUCAAAAAAAAAAAAAAAAAAAAGGAAAUUUUUUUUAAAAAAUUAAGUAAAUAUCAUAAUUUAAUCCAAAUAGAAAUAAGUUUCAGAUUUUUUGUAUUACAUUAUCUCAUCCGCUGUUUUUGUUGUUGUUAUUGAGGGCAUUUCUCUGCCUGAGGAGCUAUAAUUGCUAAAAGUAAGUUUUUUGCAGUUUAAUUUUACAUGAAUUUCUUUUGUUUAUCAGGAUUUCCAAUUUAUUUAACAUCCUCCAACACAUUCUAAAGAAACUAAGUAGGUAAGUAUUUUUUAGGCAUUUUGCUUUGAUACAUCUGAUUUUCUUAGAUGAAAAUUCUUAGAAACUUUGAAAAUGUACUGUUAGGAAUAGAGACAAAAUAACCUAGAAAUGCAAAAAUUAUUAUGAGCUACUGGAGAGGCUGAGGCAGGAGAAUCGCUUGAACUUGGGAGGCAGAGGUUGCAGUGACCCAAGAUCACUCUACUGCACUCCAGCCUGGGCUACAGAACCUAGCCCUGUGUUUGAUAGGAAUUACCCCAUCUUCUUCCCUACCUCCUAGCUAGGCCAUGGGAUUGGGCCUUCUAGUCCCAACCAAUCUAAGUGCAAAUAUGGAUUCUAGUUUUAGCAGCAAUGGUAAGAUGACAGCUUUCAGGAAACCAGGGAAGUAAGACCUAUAUGAAAUAGAAAUCAUCUGCAUAUUUUCAUGGUGUAAAAAUUUGUUCAAACGUUUCUGCCUCUAAUGUGAUCCCAUAGUCACGAGUCCACUUGAACUCUGAUCUCAUCCUUGUAUAGUGCCUUUGGUACUAACCCUGAGAGAUAUGCCAGUAGAGCCUGCAUCUGCCUCCCUACUGCAUCAAGUAGAGAUUGUAUUUAAGGGUCCCAUUUGCUUCCUGGGCUACUUUUGACUUCUGCUUCCAGUCUUUCUUGCAGCAGCUUCACACUUAUCCCUUUUUUCUUUCUACAUCUUCUGUAAUAAACAUUUAUUUUACACAUUCAGACACACACAGUCUUGCAGUGGAGGUUUUCAAAAUGCUUGCUUUUCUCAAAAAUUUUAACAGAUAGAAUUAGUGUGGUCAAUAUACCUUUAUAGGAAAUACCAGCUGAGUGAGGAGUGGUAUAGAUCAUCCAAAAGUCGCAGCACUUUUCUAAUCAGUAUAUUACAAAAUUUCAUCAGAUUCACACAGACAAAUCUGUACUCAAUUUGUCCUUUCUGGUCAGGUAAAUGUAAAUAAAAAAAAAUGCUUUUUAAAGGGACAGUAGAUAUUAAAUAAAGGAAGCCAGAGUCCGAGCUUUUUCAGUGAGUCUGUAACCCCUUGGAGCAAAUGCCAAUAGUAUUUCUGUUGGGCUAGCAUUAUGAGAGAGAGUGCUUGGAGUUACACUAUCACCCUUCAGUCCCAGGCCUGAAAUUGACUGGACGGGAUAUGAAGAAAUAGAGGAGAACAAGGUGGCCAGGGAAAAUAAAGGCAGAUAUGGGCAGGUUCUGUGGAAAUAGUUUCAGGCUAUACAGCUUUGGUCCUUCUCUGUGAGAUUGGCCUUCUCCAUUACUGUUUUUAUAGAUCACAUCUUUAACAUGACUACAUAGCAAGGGAUUCUGUAUUAAGAAUAGACCACCUUGGCUGGGCGCGGUGGCUCAUGCCCAUAAUCCCAGCACUGUGGGAGGCUGAGGCGGGCAGAUCACUUGAGGUCAGGAAUUCCAGACCAGCCUAAACAUGGUGAAACCCCAUCUCUACUAAUAAUACAAAAGUUAGCCAGGCAUGGUGACACACACCUGUAAUCCCAGCUGCUCAGGAGUCUGGAGUCAGGAGAAUCGCUUGAACCCAGGAGGUGGAGGUUGCAGUGAGCAGAGAUCGCGCCAACUGUCCUCCAGCCUGGGUGACAGAGCGAGACUCUGUCUCAAAAGAAAAAAAAUAGACCACCUCUCUUUGACUGUGUGAGCUAGAAAGUGAGGGUAAGG
rnacentral:lncRNA from 1 species